rnacentral:rRNA from 1 species
UACGAAGGGGGCUAGCGUUGUUCGGAAUUACUGGGCGUAAAGCGCGCGCAGGCGGUUUUCCAAGUCAGUGGUGAAAGCCCGGAGCUCAACUCCGGAACUGCCAUUGAAACUGGCGAACUUGAGUACGAGAGAGGUGAGUGGAAUUCCCAGUGUAGAGGUGAAAUUCGUAGAUAUUGGGAAGAACACCGGUGGCGAAGGCGGCUCACUGGCCCGUAACUGACGCUCAGGCGCGAUAGCGUGGGGAUCAAACAGG